GCAAAAUUCAGGUAAUAAUAAAUGCUAAAAAUGAAGAAGAACCCUGCCGAAAAACGACACCGCUUCACGUGCGAACCGGAGUUCAUCUUCUUCUCCACUCAAAUCGGAGCAGCAAGAAUCAGUGUCUGAAAAUCUCUUCAUAUUUUCUCUUUUUCCCGACCUUAUCAUUUGACGCGAAAACCAGCAACCAAAGCCCACGUUUCUCGGACCAAAUGGAAUUGCCCGAACCACCCAAUCCUCCAAACCCUAAUCCCCACGUUCCCGCCCCUCAAAACCUUGCAAUGCCCCAAUUCCACCACCACCACCGCCGUGCCCACUCCGAGGUCAAUUUCCGGAUGCCCGAUGACACCGAUCCCUUCGACAAUGCGCCUUCGGGGAGCUUCGAAGAUCUCGGAUCCGAGGACGACCUGCUGAGCACGUACAUGGACAUGGAGAAGAUCGGGGGGAAGCUCGACGACGGGCCCGGAUCCGACCCGAGGACGGACAAUGCCGAGGGCGACGGCGGCGGUGGCGGAGAGAAGGGCGCGAGGCCGAGGCAUCGGUAUAGCAAUUCCGCGGACGGGUCUUCGGUCUUGGAUGGCAUAGAGGCUAAGAAGGCCAUGGCUCCUGAUAAGCUGGCGGAGCUGUGGGCAGUUGAUCCCAAAAGAGCCAAGAGAAUUCUCGCAAAUCGGCAGUCUGCUGCUCGCUCAAAAGAGAGAAAAGCAAGGUAUAUCUCAGAACUCGAGAGAAAAGUCCAGACCCUUCAAACAGAAGCAACUACUCUUUCUGCUCAGCUCACACUUUUUCAGAGGGAUACAACAAAUUUGACUUCUGAAAAUGCAGAGCUUGAGCUUAGGUUACAGGCUAUGGAGCAACAAGCUCAGCUACGUGAUGCUCUAAAUGAAGCUCUGAAAAAGGAAAUAGAGAGGCUCAAAAUUGCCACCGGAGAAAUGAUGACAGCAGCCGAUACCUAUAAUUUGGAAAUGCACCAAUAUCCAUAUUCACAACCUUCCUUCUUCCCUCCUCAGCAACAACCCAGAUCAGUCGACUUACGAAACAUGCAAAUGCCUCAGUUCAACAUGUUUCAUAUGAACAUAGCAGCUUCGGGGCAAUCUCCAACCAUGCCUGCCCAUUCUCAUGGCUUCUCAGAGCUGUUGCAGCAGGACUCCCUCGGUCGAUUGGAGGGGCUUGAGAUUAGUAAUAGAGGGCCACAUCUUGUAAAGUCUGAAGGUUCUACCAUUUCAGCAAGUGAAAGCAGUAGCACAUAUUAGUGUAAAUUUAAAGCUGACACACUCUCUCUCUGUGUUGAGAAUAUCCCAGAGUUCUGUUGUUGGUUGUCUUGGUUGACCAAGAGGUGCCUUAUCGUCGUGGUGUGGCUUCAGCCAAAAGGAAGUUACAGUAUGCAUCAUCUGUGCCUCUCUUAGUCAAAAGACAUCAUGUUAUAUGCCUCUAAAUAUCAACGUUGAAGAACGGCCACAGCCGGUGAGCCACCAUCGCUCAACAGACCAUUAUUAAAGUUUGAUCAAACCAGUCAUCCUGUUUGCAUUACAGAAGCUAUGAGACAUUAUUGGAACCUCCACCGCAUGCCAGGAGGUUAUAAGAGAAGAAACCACCUUACACUUGCACUAAAUCAAGACUCGAGACCGCUGUAGCCAGUCAAAUUCAUCUAGUUUCUUGCACAAAAGCUGAGAGAGUACCGGAGCUAAUUUGCUUUUGCCCUGGCUAUGCUAGAAAGGUUUGUUCAUCAAUCAAUUCUAGGGAGGUUGGCUCUUUUAACUUAUGCAG